rnacentral:rRNA from 1 species
AUUGAACGCUGGCGGCAUGCCUUACACAUGCAAGUCGAACGGUAACAGGUCUUCGGAUGCUGACGAGUGGCGAAUGGGUGAGUAAUACAUCGGAACGUGCCCAGUCGUGGGGGAUAGCUACUCGAAAGAGUAGCUAAUACCGCAUACGAUCUGAGGAUGAAAGCGGGGGACCUUCGGGCCUCGCGCGAUUGGAGCGGCCGAUGGCAGAUUAGGUAGUUGGUGGGAUAAAAGCUUACCAAGCCGACGAUCUGUAGCUGGUCUGAGAGGACGACCAGCCACACUGGGACUGAGACACGGCCCAGACUCCGACGGGAGGCAGCAGUGGGGAAUUUUGGACAAUGGGCGAAAGCCUGAUCCAGCAAUGCCGCGUGCAGGAUGAAGGCCUUCGGGUUGUAAACUGCUUUUGUACGGAACGAAAAAGCUUCUCCUAAUACGAGAGGCCCAUGACGGUACCGUAAGAAUAAGCACCGGCUAACUACGUGCCAGCAGCCGCCGUAACAC